rnacentral:rRNA from 1 species
UCCAGGGGAAGGUUCGUCCGCCCUGGGUUAGUCGGGACCUAAGCUGAGGCCGAAAGGCGUAGGUGAUGGACAACAGGUUGAUAUUCCUGUACUACCGAUAACCGUUUGAGAGAUGGGAUGACACAGUAGGAUAAGCUAAGCACACUGUUGGUUAUGUGUGCCCAAGCAUUGAGGCAGUCAAAGUAGGUAAAUCCGCUUUGAUAAUGCUGGGAUGUGAUGGGGAGCGAAAUUUAGUAGCGAAGUAGCUGAUUUCACACUGUCAAGAAAAGUCUCUAUCGAGGUUAAAGG